UUUGCUACCGCAAUAGCAUCCAUCGAACCAGGUCAGGGUCGGAAGACAGCAGCCUUAAGAUGGCUCUGCUAUGUGUGGUGGCUUUUUU
rnacentral:SRP_RNA from 1 species